UAGAUUUUCGACAGCGCCUUCAUGUCGCCGCUGCGUGCGGCUUCGCGGCCAUCCUUCGGCGUGCCGAGGCCCCGCAGAUGGAUGUAGGAGAUGCCGCGUUCAUCGAGUCCCGCGGCAANGGCAAGCUGGGUCUUCGAGAAGCCGGGACGGCGCGAUGAUGCGAUCGCCCGCACGUCGACGAGGAGCUUCACGCCUGCAUGCUGCAAUUCAUCAAGGACGGCCUUCGGCGGC
rnacentral:misc_RNA from 1 species